rnacentral:rRNA from 1 species
AGGGCGUACGGAGGAUGCCUUGGCUCUUGCAGGCGAAGAAGGACGUGAUAAGCUGCGAAAAGCCGCGUGUAGGUGCAAAUGACCUGUGAUGCGCGGAUCUCCGAAUGGGACAACCCGCCGUCUUGAAGGGACGGCAUUCCGCUCAAUGCGGAAGGCGAACGCAGGGAACUGAAACAUCUUAGUACCUGCAGGAAGAGAAAAUAACAAUGAUUCCCCUAGUAGUGGCGAGCGAACGGGGAAGAGCCCAAACCAUGCAUGUCGCAAGGCAUGUGUGGGGUAGUAAGGCCGCCAGAAGCCAUGUACGAGGUGAGCAGAACGGACUGGAAAGUCCGGCCGCAGCGGGUGAAAGCCCCUUAUGCGAAGCCUGUGUGCAUGCAGGGCGAGACCUUGAGUAGCGCGGGACACGUGGAAUCCUGUGUGAAUCAUCCGGGACCAUCCGGAAAGGCUAAAUACUCGCAAGAGACCGAUAGUGAACCAGUACCGUGAGGGAAAGGUGAAAAGUACCUCGAGCAGAGGAGUGAAAUAGAACCUGAAACCGUACGCCUACAAGCGGUCGGAGCUGUUUUAUAACAGUGACGGCGUGCCUUUUGCAUAAUGAACCUACGAGUUGCCGUCGUUGGCAAGGUUAAGGCCCGAGAGUGCCGCAGCCGAAGCGAAAGCGAGUCUGAACAGGGCGUAAAGUCAGCGGAGGCAGACGCGAAACCAAGUGAUCUACCCUUGUCCAGGAUGAAGUCUGGGUAACACCAGAUGGAGGUCCGAACCAAUAAGCGUUGAAAAGCUUCUGGAUGAGGUAAGGGUAGGAGUGAAAGGCCAAUCAAACUUGGAGAUAGCUCGUACUCCCCGAAAAGCAUUUAGGUGCUGCCUUCAGUGAUGAUUGCCGGAGGUAGAGCGACUGAUAGGAUGCGAGGGCUUCACCGCCUAUCAAGUCCUGAUAAACUCCGAAUGCCGGUAAUUUAGCUGUGGAGAAAGGGCGAGGGUGCUAAGGUCCUCGCCCGAGAGGAGAAGAAUCCGGACCGCCGGCUAAGGCCCCGGAGUGCAUGUUAAGUUAGUCUAACGAAGUACGGCCCCCGUGACAGCUAGGAUGUUGGCUUGGAAGCAGCCAUUCAUUCAAAGAGUGCGUAACAGCUCACUAGUCGAGGGUCUGUGCGUGGAUAAUAAUCGGGUAUUAAACAUGCCGCCGAAGCCGCGGGAUUGCACUUUAGUUGUGUAAUCGGUAGGGGAGCAUUCCAUGUGCGUUGAAUGGAUUCCGUAAGGGGUGCUGGAGCGUAUGGAAAAGCAAAUGUAGGUAUAAGUAACGAUAAAGAGGGUGAGAUGCCCUCUCGCCGAAAGACUAAGGUUUCCUGGGCGACGUUAAUCGUCCCAGGGUCAGUCGGGUCCUAAGGAUAAGCCUAAUGGCGAGGCCGAACGGAUGAAACGGUUAAUAUUCCGUUACUAUCUGCGUCGAGCGACGCGGUGACGGGGCGGUGACACUUCCGCGCCCUUACGAAUCAGGGCGUUGAACGGCAAAGGUGUAGAUUGCGGUAGUGAAGUACGCCGCGAGAGCCGAAGCCGGAAAGUACGCGAGUCCUCCGGGAUGAGCGAUAGUGAAGGUAAUAGCCUCCGAGAAAACCCGCUAAGCAUUAUGAUGGUGCAGGUACCCGUACCGUAAACGGACACACGUAGUUGGGUAGAAAAUACUAAGGCGCUAGGGAGAUUCACGGUUAAGGAACUAGGCAAAAUAGCCCUGUAACUUCGGGAGAAAGGGUCCUGCUUUUAUAGCAGGCGCAGUGAAAAGGUCCAGGCAACUGUUUACCAAAAACACAGGGCUGUGCGAAGUGUAAUUACUCAGUAUACAGCCUGACACCUGCCCGGUGCCGGAAGGUUAAGAGGAGGGCUUAUCAGCAAUGAGAAGGUCUGAAUUGAAGCCCCGGUAAACGGCGGCCGUAACUAUAACGGUCCUAAGGUAGCGAAAUUCCUUGUCGGGUAAGUUCCGACCUGCACGAAUGGUGUAAUGAUCCGGACACUGUCUCAACCGUGAUCCCAGUGAAAUUGUAGUAUCGGUGAAGAUGCCGAUUACCCGCGAUGGGACGAAAAGACCCCGUGAACCUUUACUAUAGCUUAACGUUGUACCCGGGCUGUCGAUGUGUAGGAUAGGCCGGAGGCGUCGAAUCGGGCACGCCAGUGUCCGUGGAGCCGUUGUUGAAAUACGGCCCUUUGGCCGUCUGGGUACUAACUUGGUGAAUCCAAGGACCGCGUUUGGUGGGUAGUUUGACUGGGGUGGUCGCCUCCAAAAGCGUAACGGAGGCUCCUCAAGGUGCCCUCAGGCCGAUUGGUAACCGGCCGCAGAGUGUAAUGGCAAAAGGGCGCUUGACUGGGAGGCCGACAGGCCGCACAGGCAGGAAACUGGAGCAUAGUGAUCCGGCGGUUCCGUAUGGAAGGUCCGUCGCUCAAAGGAUAAAAGGUACUCCGGGGAUAACAGGCUGA